GGAUGUGAGGGCGACCUGGCUGCAACAUCUGCCACCCCAUUGAUCACCAGGGUUGACUUGGCUGAUCUGGCUGGCUAGGUGAGUGUCCCCUUCCUCCCCCACCACUCAAUGUGCAUUCCUCCCAAAGCUGCCCACACAGUCAAAGAAGAUGACUUUUACCGAUAGAAGAGGGCUGUUCUUAGCCAAGGGUGUAGGAGUAGCAGCUCUCCCCUCCUAGAACCUCCAGACAAGCCCUCCAGAAGCCUUACAAUGUGGUCUUCUGAUAGUUUUUAUAAUUCAGGCUUCUCAGACCAACUCAUCCUGAGUUUUGUU
rnacentral:snRNA from 10 species